rnacentral:rRNA from 1 species
GACCUCAAAUCAGGUAGGACUACCCGCUGAACUUAAGCAUAUCAAUAAGCGGAGGAAAAGAAACUAACAAGGAUUCCCCUAGUAACUGCGAGUGAAGCGGGAAGAGCUCAAAUUUUGAAUCUGGCGGUCUCCGGCCGUCCGAGUUGUAAUCUAGAGAAGCGUCUUCCGCGCUGGACCGUGUACAAGUCUCCUGGAAGGGAGCAUCGUAGAGGGUGACAAUCCCGUCUCCGACACGGACUACCAGGGCUAUGUGAUGCGCUCUCGACGAGUCGAGUUGUUUGGGAAUGCAGCUCAAAUCGGGUGGUAAACUCCAUCUAAAGCUAAAUACAGGCGAGAGACCGAUAGCGAACAAGUACCGUGAGGGAAAGAUGAAAAGAACUUUGGAAAGAGAGUUAAACAGUACGUGAAAUUGCUGGAAGGGAAACGCUYGAAGUCAGUCGCGUCGGCCGGGGAUCAACCCUGCUCCUUGCUGGGCGUAUUUCCUGGUCGACGGGUCAGCAUCGAUUUUGAUCGUCGUAGAAGGACGGUAGCGAACGUGGCACUCUUCGGAGUGUGUUAUAGCCUUCCGUAUGCUAUGCGAUGGUCGGGAUCGAGGAACUCGGCAUGACCCCCUCGAGGGUUCGGGGCUUGCCCACGCAGCAUGC